rnacentral:rRNA from 1 species
GCGAUGGGACGAAAAGACCCCGUGAACCUUUACUAUAGCUUAUCAUUGAAUCUGGGCACGUGAUGUGUAGGAUAGGUCGGAGGCUUUGAAGCAGGUACGCCAGUAUUUGUGGAGCCGCUGUUGAAAUACGACCCUUUAUUUGUUUGGAUUCUAACCCGUGGAACGGGGACAUUGAUUGGUGGGUAGUUUGACUGGGGUGGUCGCCUCCAAAAGCGUAACGGAGG